GCGGUGCUUUGAGGAGUUUCAGCACCACCGGGGUCUCCCAUUCCCCCAAAUAAACUUAUUCAUGUCUUUCUGGAUUGCUUUGAAAUAGGAUUGGGGGAUUUUUAGUGGGAGGGUCCGAAAGACAUAUUGUAACCGUGGAAGCACUGACAUCUUCAGUGCCACUAUUCUUUCGGUCCAUGUAAGGUAGAGGGCCCCCCAUGUCUUUAAGAUUACUUUACUGUGAUUCCAGACCCUGAUAUAGUUCCUAGUUGGGAGGCCUGAGGGUUUCCUGGUAAAGAGGAGUCCCAAAUACUUUUUAUAGUCUGACUCCACUCAAAUGGGUAUGUCUUGCUCAGGGUCAACAUCUGGGAGGCAUGGAUUCCUAUCCCCAUUGCUUGAGUUUUCGAUGCGUUUAACGAAUAGUACGACAGCUG